GGCGGGGUGCCGGAGCGGUCGAACGGGGCGGUCUUGAAAACCGUUGGGCGCGCAAGCGCCCCGUGGGUUCGAAUCCCACCCCCGCCG
rnacentral:tRNA from 2 species